rnacentral:rRNA from 1 species
GAUGAACGCUAGCUACAGGCUUAACACAUGCAAGUCGAGGGGCAGCAUGAAAGGAACUUCGGUUCUUUUUGAUGGCGACCGGCGCACGGGUGCGUAACGCGUAUCGAACCUGCCUCAUACUCGGGGAUAGCCUUGCGAAAGUAAGAUUAAUACCCGGCGGUCUCGGACGGCCGCAUGACAGUCCGAGUGAGGAUUUAUCGCUCUGAGAUGGCCUCGCGUCUGAUUAGCUAGUUGGCGGGGUAACGGCCCACCAAGGCGACGAUCAGUAGCCGGACUGAGAGGUUGGCCGGCCACACUGGGACUGAGACACGGCCCAG